AGAUGAGAGCCUGGGACAAAUGCCCAGGAGCCAGCCGACCUCCCUCCCCCAGGUGCCGCUGGAAACCCCAUCAACUUUCAGCCACUGCGCAGCUGAACCCAAGCACAAUCGUCACGCUUGGCUGAAGUCAUUCAAAGGGCAGGAAAUUCACCUUACACGGUCCAAAGGAUCAGAAGGGGGAUGUUAAACACAGCUGCAGUUCUACCUGAUACGAGCCUCGCUCUGUUAGGUGAGGUCUGUAGGAAGAAGCAAUACCUUUUGCUUCUUGCUAAGAGUUGGUACAGGUGAGAACAAACGCUAAGCUCUCACUCCCAUCUGCUGAACGCUGCAGUAGGGAGCGCUCUGUUACCCCUGCACGUGCCCUGCAAGCUUAGAGAGAGCUGCAGGUAGGCUGGCAGGUUGUGAAAGAGAUGCAGCGAAGCCAGGUUACUCCAAACACGCGUUCCUACUUACACUGAUGGAACUUUGCCACUGAUGCCUGCCUUUUAAAACGGCAGUGCUUUUAUCAGCGCAGAAACUUCCAGGCUUUGGUUUCAAUCCUGCUGUGGAGGAGGGCCAGACGACCUGAUGCCCACUGCAGCUCUUAGCAGGACCUUCCCCAGGCACGGCGUGCGAUAGUAGCUGCUCUGGCAGCUGGGCAGGAUUGAACGGGAAACACUCCAGGUCUAGAUCCCUGUUCAGCUCGCUCACUGAAGAGCUGAGAACCAGACUUCUGUCAUCUCAGAACUGCGCUGUACUUGGCCUUCCCUGCUGCUGGCCAGUUCUCGAUACAAAAGCUGUACUUCCAGUCUCCUUGCGAUACCGGACAAGCUUCAAAGAAAAGCCCAAAGGCUUUCCCAUUGCUCUUACACGAACAACUCCCAGCUCCAGCUGGUACACAGCAAACUCAGAGGAACCCCUUGAGACAGCUUAUUGCCACAGAGAAACAAAACCAGCCCAAACCACCCACCACGCAGUGUCUUUUGAACAUUACCCAGGCAGGGCGUUAGCCAGCAGCUCAGCUAAAGCUAGGAGGCACCACUGCCAGACACAGAUCCAUCUUCCCCGUAUCAGCUCUACUGAAACACCUGAGGAAAACAGAGCAAACCACCCCCAGCUGUCUUUAAAAUCCUUCCCUACAGCAUUUUGAGCUUGUAAAACACCAAAAGCAUGCUAGUACCGAGCGCCUGAUGGACACCAAGAAAACAUCAAGAGAAGUGCCUUGCUUUUUCUCGGGAAAGCAUUUUCUUCCAGAAGCCCAGACCACUCUGGGGCCAGGUUCACAACCCAGGCCUGCGAGGACGCAUGGCUGGGACCUCAGCUGAACUCCUCGGCUGGAGGAGAAAAGUCAACACUGCAGAGAAGCACGGAGGUAACGGCAGUGCAAAGUACACAGCUUCCAGCAAAACCUCACAGGCUGUUGGAGGAAAGCAUCCUGCCUGUCAGCGUUCCCUGCCACCUGGGAACUAAAGCUUGGGAAUUCGGAUAAAUCAAUAACUUAUUCCUGUGAUAAAUCAAGGGAAAAGAAAUAAAAUCUCAGCCGUGUAUCUGAAUUCUACCUCCCAUGUCCGUACAACUUGCCUGUGAAGGAAGGGCAACGUCACUUACUUCUACGAUUUUAUUUUUAAACCGACACAGCCCAGGUUAAAGAAACGAAUCCAGAGGCCACUCGGGGACGCUCCCCCGGCCGCAGGCAGGCUCGCCCUGUGUGCAGUAUCAUACAUGACCACCAAACGCUGCAUGGAUGCUCACACCUGUUACUGCACGGGAGGA